UGGGCAUACGGUUUCUGUACUUCUGUUCA
rnacentral:piRNA from 1 species